UACGGGGGGGGCAAGCGUUGUUCGGAAUUACUGGGCGUAAAGGGCUCGUAGGCGGCCAACUAAGUCGGAUGUGAAAUCCCCAGGCUCAACUUGGGAACUGCAUCCGAUACUGGAUGGCUUGAAUUCGGGAGAGGGAUGCAGAAUUCCAGGUGUAGCGGUGAAAUGCGUAGAUAUCUGGAGGAAUACCGGUGGCGAAGGCGGCAUCCUGGACCGACAUUGACGCUGAGGAGCGAAAGCUAGGGGAUCAAACGGG
rnacentral:rRNA from 1 species